GUGUGUGAUCAUAUUAGUACUAAUGCAUUGGAUCCCAUUGGAACUCCGAAGUUAAGCGUGCUUGGACGAUGUGUAGUAGUUUUAUACAUAUCAUCUCUGUGAGUAAAUUUUGAUAUUUAUAUAUA
rfam:Cephalotus follicularis DNA, scaffold: scaffold724, isolate: St1.